rnacentral:misc_RNA from 1 species
AACGCACCUUGCACUCCUUGGUAUUCCAUGGAGUAUGCCUGUUUGAGUGUCAUGAACAUCUCAACUGCUUUGACUUUUUUUUGUCAAAAGUGAAGUUGGACUUGGAGGACAAGUGCUGGCGCAAGCAUCUGCUUGCUUGUUGGCUCCUCUUCAAUGCAUGAAUGGCUUUCCUUGAGCGGGACAGACCGAUGUGAUAAGUAUAUUCAUUGGAAUGUCUGCUUUUGAAAAGAAAAAGCUUUAUUGCAUCAUAUAUCAAAUCAUCUGACCUCAAAUCAGGUAGGACUACCCGCUGAACUUAA